UGGGAAUCUGGAAAGGAAACAGAUAAAGAUAAUGACGUAUCCUGUUUAAUUAGUAAACAAAUUCAACAACAAUCCAGUCAUUGAGAUAGAGUGCAAGCUGUUAUAUUCAUAAUUAUAACAAAUGCGACUGAAGCUCUACAUCACAUGACAUUGCUAUAGAAACAAAGGGCAACGUUAUAAACUGUUUAAUAACCAUUUACAAUACUGGGACCCCAUGGCCUGAAUAGGGGCAACAGGGGUCUUGACGAGGCCUAGGAGAGCGACUAUCCCUGCCCCUCCCCCUUUUUUCUAUUACAGGUCGCUGAUUGGCUGGCGGGUCCCAGGUGAAUGAGCAGAGGCACCGGGACGUGGAGGAAGAAGGACGCAGCAUCGGGACGUGGUCAUCGCAUCUUCACGGCUCGCGGCAUGGAGGCGGGUGUGGACUGGGAGGUGGCGAGAUGACGUGGAUCUUCGUGGCUCCAGGGGGAUAUCGGUCAAUCCCCACUCCUUGGUACACGGUCAGGUGGCGGGAAGGGGGGUAAAAGGGACACUAAUCUCGCCAGCUCUACGGUGCACUACGGGUAGGGGCCCCCUAUCCACAGUCAAAAGACUGCGGCCGGCGGCACGGUCGGCCAGGAAGGGCGCCCAGGGUCAGCCCACUCGGGGACGGGGCAGUGGUUUAACGGCCGGGACACACGUGCCUGGCCAGGUACCUGUGGCGGCCUGGGAGGAGUGGCCAGGUACUUCAAGCUCGGCUCAGGCCAGGAAUAAGCCCCAAGGCCACUAUCGGGCGCUCCCGCUUGGGAGGGGAGUGGGGAGCGCGGCAGUAGGUUCGAGAUGACUAGACAAUUGGAACCGAGGGCGGCACAGCAGGUCCAGGAGCAGGUGGUCGGGGCGCAAUCGGCGGCGGUCACCUAGGUCUAGGAGUGGGUCCCACACCCGGGGGAGGUCACGGAGGAGCUCCACGGCUCGGCGGGAGGCCAGGGUGGCCAGGGACAGGGUCACCGGGACCAGCCCCCCCUAGGGAGCAGGGAGGUGGAGGGAACGCUCUCGCUCUUUCAUGUCCUGCAGGUAUGGUUCCAGUGAUUCCAGUGGGGACCUGGAUAGGAUCGGAGGGUCGAGGCGCAGACGGACUACUAGGGGCUACUCUCCCGGUCGGGGACAUGGGUCCCACAGGUGGCAUUCCUCCGACAGCCACAGAAGGUCCGGCAGAUGCCGCUCAUCGGGGAGGAGCAGGAAGACCACAAGGAGCCGGUCGGUUGACAGGUCCAGGAGGCACAUCGGAAGUCGUCCAGCCGAUGGCAAUAGGCGAGUCUCUGCCCACAGGUCAUCCAACAGAGCACAUACGGUGGACAGGCAGAUGGCCUCGCAUGGGCCUGGAUCGGGCGAGGAGCAUCAACACAGCUGGCGAGUCUGGUUACGGUCCCUGAGGUUUUGACGGCCAAGGGGCCAGGAGAAGGAAGAGAAGAGGAAGGAAAUGAAGAAGACACAGAUAACACCCAUGUUGUAAAGAGGAGAGAGGACAUAUGCCAGUCCUGAAAUCUGUAAGACAAAAGGACAGGGAGUCAGCGACGCCCAUUUGAAAGCUGCAAAGAGUCAGAAGAAAAAGGCAAAUAACAAUAAUCUUCACAUUUUCUUCAAACGAAAGUGUGCUGCUGAUAUCUGUCUUAAUUGGAUUGUUUGACCCUGGAAGCAGGCGUGGGUCCUUCAUCUUAAAGAUCAGACCUCCAGUUUGAUGCAAACCACUGCUUGAUUAGGGUAAAUUGGACCCUCGCAAUCAGAGAGAGGCUGAGAAACAAUCUAAACCAUUCUAAAGGCUAACAAAACCAACACCACAUGCACAUGUCAGAAUUUCAGUGCCUACCUCAGACUAAAGGCCUGAUGUUACCCGGCAGUCUCAUACCCUGGAAGAUGGAAUCCCAGGUGAAGGUGGAGCUGAAGCAGAAAAGAUGAUCUGGCCUUUGUGCAGCAGGUGGAAAGGCUCUUAACCCACAGCUGUGCUCACUGUCUGCUGAUGUUGUGUACCUGUGCUAGAUGGAAGCACGUUGUUACUAUUGUCUGGAUUACACGUGCCUAUAUACUUACUCCAGCCAGCCUGAAUUUAAAAAUGAAAAGCCGGGAAUGAUGUUUGUAUCCCUUGGUGCUGCUUCAUCCUCCUGGUUCUUAUGGAAUGACAGCGGCUUUCCAUCAUAUGGCUGGAAUAACUUCUCUGAUGGCUGCAUGAAAGGAAGAUGUCUCAGAUCCUUAUCCAGCCAAUGAGGUAUGUAAGGCUCAUAUUCGAUGAUGGAUUCAAUGAGCUCCUCUGUGUCUCUGUGGAUAAAGGGGAGCUUGCCAGUGGCCAUUUCAUAGAUGGUGAUGCCCAAUGACCACCAGUCCACCGCUGCAUCGUAUUCUUUUCCAUCUAGAAUCUUGAAAAGAAGAGAAAACGGUACCUUCUGAGUAUGUCUACUGGGAUAAUAUUGGCAACAGAGAUCAACGGAUUCAGCUGCUCAUUGAGUGAAUGGAGUGCAAUCAGACCUCCAGUUUGAUGCAAACCACUGCUUGAUUAGGGUAAAUUGGACCCUCGCAAUCAGAGAGAUGCUGAGAAACAAUCUAAACCAUUCUAAAGGCUACCAAAACCAACACCACAUGCACAUGUCAGAAUUUCAGUGCCUACCUCAGAAUAAAGGCCUGAUGUUACCCGGCAGUCUCAUACCCUGGAAGAUGGAAUCCCAGGUGAAGGUGGAGCUGAAGCAGAAAAGAUGAUCUGGCCUUUGUGCAGCAGGUGGAAAGGCUCUUAACCCACAGCUGUGCUCACUGUCUGCUGAUGUUGUGUACCUGUGCUAGAUGGAAGCACGUUGUUACUAUUGUCUGGAUUACACGUGCCUAUAUACUUACUCCAGCCAGCCUGAAUUUAAAAAUGAAAAGCCUGGAAUGAUGUUUGUAUCCCUUGGUGCUGCUUCAUCCUCCUGGUUCUUAUGGAAUGACAGCGGCUUUCCAUCAUAUGGCUGGAAUAACUUCUCUGAUGGCUGCAUGAAAGGAAGAUGUCUCAGAUCCUUAUCCAGCCAAUGAGGUAUGUAAGGCUCAUAUUCGAUGAUGGAUUCAAUGAGCUCCUCUGUGUCUCUGUGGAUAAAGGGGAGCUUGCCAGUGGCCAUUUCAUAGAUGGUGAUGCCCAAUGACCACCAGUCCACCGCUGCAUCGUAUUCUUUUCCAUCUAGAAUCUUGAAAAGAAGAGAAACGGUACCUUCUAAGUAUGUCUACUGGGAUAAUAUUGGCAACAGAGAUCAACGGAUUCAGCUGCUCAUUGAGUGAAUGGAGUGCAAUCAGACCUCCAGUUUGAUGCAAACCACUGCUUGAUUAGGGUAAAUUGGACCCUCGCAAUCAGAGAGAUGCUGAGAAACAAUCUAAACCAUUCUAAAGGCUAACAAAACCAACACCACAUGCACAUGUCAGAAUUUCAGUGCCUACCUCAGACUAAAGGCCUGAUGUUACCCGGCAGUCUCAUACCCUGGAAGAUGGAAUCCCAGGUGAAGGUGGAGCUGAAGCAGAAAAGAUGAUCUGGCCUUUGUGCAGCAGGUGGAAAGGCUCUUAACCCACAGCUGUGCUCACUGUCUGCUGAUGUUGUGUACCUGUGCUAGAUGGAAGCACGUUGUUACUAUUGUCUGGAUUACACGUGCCUAUAUACUUACUCCAGCCAGCCUGAAUUUAAAAAUGAAAAGCCGGGAAUGAUGUUUGUAUCCCUUGGUGCUGCUUCAUCCUCCUGGUUCUUAUGGAAUGACAGCGGCUUUCCAUCAUAUGGCUGGAAUAACUUCUCUGAUGGCUGCAUGAAAGGAAGAUGUCUCAGAUCCUUAUCCAGCCAAUGAGGUAUGUAAGGCUCAUAUUCGAUGAUGGAUUCAAUGAGCUCCUCUGUGUCUCUGUGGAUAAAGGGGAGCUUGCCAGUGGCCAUUUCAUAGAUGGUGAUGCCCAAUGACCACCAGUCCACCGCUGCAUCGUAUUCUUUUCCAUCUAGAAUCUUGAAAAGAAGAGAAAACGGUACCUUCUGAGUAUGUUUACUGGGAUAAUAUUGGCAACAGAGAUCAAUGGAUUCAGCUGCUCAUUGAGUGAAUGGAGUGCAAUCAGACCUCCAGUUUGAUGCAAACCACUGCUUGAUUAGGGUAAAUUGGACCCUCGCAAUCAGAGAGAUGCUGAGAAACAAUCUAAACCAUUCUAAAGGCUAACAAAACCAACACCACAUGCACAUGUCAGAAUUUCAGUGCCUACCUCAGACUAAAGGCCUGAUGUUACCCGGCAGUCUCAUACCCUGGAAGAUGGAAUCCCAGGUGAAGGUGGAGCUGAAGCAGAAAAGAUGAUCUGGCCUUUGUGCAGCAGGUGGAAAGGCUCUUAACCCACAGCUGUGCUCACUGUCUGCUGAUGUUGUGUACCUGUGCUAGAUGGAAGCACGUUGUUACUAUUGUCUGGAUUACACGUGCCUAUAUACUUACUCCAGCCAGCCUGAAUUUAAAAAUGAAAAGCCGGGAAUGAUGUUUGUAUCCCUUGGUGCUGCUUCAUCCUCCUGGUUCUUAUGGAAUGACAGCGGCUUUCCAUCAUAUGGCUGGAAUAACUUCUCUGAUGGCUGCAUGAAAGGAAGAUGUCUCAGAUCCUUAUCCAGCCAAUGAGGUAUGUAAGGCUCAUAUUCGAUGAUGGAUUCAAUGAGCUCCUCUGUGUCUCUGUGGAUAAAGGGGAGCUUGCCAGUGGCCAUUUCAUAGAUGGUGAUGCCCAAUGACCACCAGUCCACUGCUGCAUCGUAUUCUUUUCCAUCUAGAAUCUUGAAAAGAAGAGAAAACGGUACCUUCUAAGUAUGUCUACUGGGAUAAUAUUGGCAACAGAGAUCAACGGAUUCAGCUGCUCAUUGAGUGAAUGGAGUGCAAUCAGACCUCCAGUUUGAUGCAAACCACUGCUUGAUUAGGGUAAAUUGGACCCUCGCAAUCAGAGAGAGGCUGAGAAACAAUCUAAACCAUUCUAAAGGCUAACAAAACCAACACCACAUGCACAUGUCAGAAUUUCAGUGCCUACCUCAGACUAAAGGCCUGAUGUUACCCGGCAGUCUCAUACCCUGGAAGAUGGAAUCCCAGGUGAAGGUGGAGCUGAAGCAGAAAAGAUGAUCUGGCCUUUGUGCAGCAGGUGGAAAGGCUCUUAACCCACAGCUGUGCUCACUGUCUGCUGAUGUUGUGUACCUGUGCUAGAUGGAAGCACGUUGUUACUAUUGUCUGGAUUACACGUGCCUAUAUACUUACUCCAGCCAGCCUGAAUUUAAAAAUGAAAAGCCGGGAAUGAUGUUUGUAUCCCUUGGUGCUGCUUCAUCCUCCUGGUUCUUAUGGAAUGACAGCGGCUUUCCAUCAUAUGGCUGGAAUAACUUCUCUGAUGGCUGCAUGAAAGGAAGAUGUCUCAGAUCCUUAUCCAGCCAAUGAGGUAUGUAAGGCUCAUAUUCGAUGAUGGAUUCAAUGAGCUCCUCUGUGUCUCUGUGGAUAAAGGGGAGCUUGCCAGUGGCCAUUUCAUAGAUGGUGAUGCCCAAUGACCACCAGUCCACCGCUGCAUCGUAUUUUUUUCCAUCUAGAAUCUUGAAAAGAAGAGAAAACGGUACCUUCUGAGUAUGUCUACUGGGAUAAUAUUGGCAACAGAGAUCAACGGAUUCAGCUGCUCAUUGAGUGAAUGGAGUGCAGUGAGUAAUGCAUGUGACCAGUUGGUUUCUCUCGCUUGGAUCAGAACUGUAACAUUUGCUAGUUCCUUUUUAAAGCUGUAUUGGUAGAAACCUGUAAUAGAACAUCUAUUGCUAAAUAUGGUUAAUGCUUGGCACAACAUGGCUGGCACUAGAGCUAUGUGUAAAGCUGAGCAAGUAAUGGAAACAUGUAUGAUGUGAAGUAAAGUGAUGCAGUUAA